rnacentral:tRNA from 1 species
GCGGGAAUGGCGAAAUUGGCAGACGCACCAGACUUAGGAUCUGGUGCCGCAAGGCGUGGAGGUUCAAGUCCUCUUUCCCGCACCA